rnacentral:rRNA from 1 species
CCCGCACAAGCGGCGGAGCAUGUGGAUUAAUUCGAUGCAACGCGAAGAACCUUACCUGGGUUUGACAUAUACCGGAAAGCUGCAGAGAUGUGGCCCCCCUUGUGGUCGGUAUACAGGUGGUGCAUGGCUGUCGUCAGCUCGUGUCGUGAGAUGUUGGGUUAAGUCCCGCAACGAGCGCAACCCUAUCUUAUGUUGCCAGCACGUUAUGGUGGGGACUCGUAAGAGACUGCCGGGGUCAACUCGGAGGAAGGUGGGGACGACGUCAAGUCAUCAUGCCCCUUAUGUCCAGGGCUUCACACAUGCUACAAUGGCCAGUACAGAGGGCUGCGAGACCGUGAGGUGGAGCGAAUCCCUUAAAGCUGGUCUCAGUUCGGAUCGGGGUCUGCAACUCGACCCCGUGAAGUCGGAGUCGCUAGUAAUCGCAGAUCAGCAACGCUGCGGUGAAUACGUUCCCGGGCCUU